UAUUGCACAAUGGGGGAAACCCUGAUGCAGCGACGCCGCGUGAGUGAAGAAGUAUUUCGGUAUGUAAAGCUCUAUCAUCAGGGAAGAAGAAAUUACGGUACCUGAGUAAGCAGCACCGGCUAAAUACGUUCUAGCAGCCGCGGUAAUACGUAUGGUGCAAGCGUUAUCCGGAUUUACUGGGUGUAAAGGGAGCGCAGGCGGCACGGCAAGCCUGAUGUGAAAGCCCGCGGCCCAACCGCGGGACUGCAUUGGGAACUACCGGGCUGGAGUGCCGGAGAGGUAGGCGGAAUUCCUAGUGUAGCGGUGAAAUGCGUAGAUAUUAGGAGGAACACCAGUGGCGAAGGCGGCUUACUGGACUGUAACUGACGUUGAGGCUCGAAAGCGUGGGGAGCAAACAG
rnacentral:rRNA from 1 species